rnacentral:piRNA from 1 species
UGUGGUCGUCAAACCACAGGGCUGGGGU